rnacentral:rRNA from 1 species
CUCUUACGGGAGGCAGCAGUGGGGAAUAUUGCGCAAUGGGCGAAAGCCUGACGCAGCGACGCCGCGUGGGGGAUGAAGGCCUUCGGGUUGUAAACCUCUUUCAGCAGGGACGAAUUCAGACGGUACCUGCAGAAGAAGCACCGGCCAACUACGUGCCAGCAGCCGCGGUAAUACGUAGGGUGCAAGCGUUGUCCGGAAUUAUUGGGCGUAAAGAGCUCGUAGGCGGUCUGUCGCGUCGGCUGUGAAAACUUGGGGCUCAACCCCAAGCCUGCAGUCGAUACGGGCAGACUAGAGUGCGGUAGGGGAGACUGGAAUUCCUGGUGUAGCGGUGAAAUGCGCAGAUAUCAGGAGGAACACCGGUGGCGAAGGCGGGUCUCUGGGCCGUAACUGGCGCUGAGGAGCGAAAGCGUGGGGAGCGAACAGGAUUAGAUACCCUGGUAGUCCACGCCGUAAACGGUGGGUGCUAGGUGUAGGCGGUAUUCCACGCCGUCUGUGCCGCAGCUAACGCAUUAAGCACCCCGCCUGGGGAGUACGGCCGCAAGGCUAAAACUUAAAGGAAUUGACGG